CAACUGUAAGAAGAUUGAAAAGAAUCAUCCAAGAAAUGUUCGUUAUAGAAGGAGUUGAAGUAUUUGAAAAUGGUUGAAAUGAAAGGUUGAAGAAAGGAAGAGAGAGUGAAAGAAUGUAAUACAAGAAGCGGAAGCGGAAGCGGAAGUGGAAGGGGAAGCGGAAUCAUCGUCGCCAUGGGAUUUUGGGAAGACGAUGAUCCUUCUUUUCUUUCCCAUUGUCCCGUUUCUUCGUCACUAACGAAAAUGGAGCGACUAAGUGACAAACCCAAGUCCUUUUAUACGGUCUAAAUUUGAAUUCUAUAUUUUAUACCAUCCGUCCUAAACUCGAUUUUGUUUCGAUUUGUUAUUAAAAUAAAUAAAUAAACAUCCAUUAAAUCUUAAACUAAUAAGGAUAUCAAAACACUGAGGGCUGUUUGGUAGUAGGAGUAUCACUAUAACCUAACCCCGUUUUAGAGUUUUCAUAAUACCUGUUUUAGUCCUCAACCCUUCAAUUUCCACUCUGCCGAUUUCUCUUCCCAAUCCUUUCCCUUCGACUCGUGUUCAUCACUUCUCUCAAUCCAUGUAACACCUUUUCGAUCAGUCUUCUUCUUCCACUUUUCGAUUUCUGUGGUUCGUUCUUCUCCCUCUUCUCUUCCAUUUUUGUUUUACAUCCAUUCGUGUGUGAGGUUUAGCUUUUUGGUUGAAAAAUUCAUUCCCCCGUUUCCAUGGAAAAGGGGUUUCCUAUAGUGAUGUCGAAGGUCGAUCUACAUCUCUCUCAUCAGUCUCUCUCACUCCCUGAAAACCGACUGUGGGUUUGUUGAAGGUGGUGCUCCACCGGCAUUGCCUCCAAACUUCUUUCGAUUUUCUUUUUUUGGGUUUUAUUGAAAGGCUCGGUCCAAUUGUUGCCUUCGAAACCAACCGAUGCACGUUCCAUAGGGUGUUCUCCGUGAACAUACAUCUUCGUUUUCCCUUUGGAAUCGUUUCCUUGACGCUUGAUAAAACCCUCUUGUCGCUCAGUGUUCCCGUUGCCGUUUUGGGUUGCCCUUUACUGAUUUAGAAUAGAAACUUCACAACCUUGCCUGGAAAUGGGUCAAAAUCGAGCAUGGUAGGGAGGACGUCGUCCUUCACAAUAACUUUGUACGAGGAACGUUGGAUUAGCCGUUAGUAGUACUUUUUUUUUUUCAUUUUUUGGUUUUCUUUCCUUUAUCGUUAAACCGUUUGUAAUGUAAUUUCACUUGUUCCGAAAACAGUUUUGGUUUUCUUAUUUUCCUUCUCUUUCGUUUUGUAUUUAUUAAAUUGCGCUCAUUUUCUUAAA